AUGCGCAUCUACAAUCUUAACAACAUCCAAUCCAUAGCCAUCAUCUUCAAGCAUCAUCCAAAAUAUUUGAUAACUAUCAUCAUCUCCACCACAAUAUUGCUAAGCUUCCUCAUAAAUAUGCAUCAUGUAACAAGGUUUGUAUUAUCACCUUCAUCCAAAUUGCAACCACAACUCAUAACUCAGAAAAAGAAUCAAACCCGAGGAAUCCAGAAACGUCGAAUCAGAAAGAUGAAGAAAGAUUUUAUGGAGAAGACGCGUUUUCUAAACGGCUGA